UGACAGGCUUCUUUUGAAGCCAUAGCUGUAAACUGAAAAUAGAAG
rfam:Alligator mississippiensis ScZkoYb_152, whole genome shotgun sequence.